AGAAGCAGCGUGAUGAUCAGUUGUUCCUGCUCCAGGAGGAUGGAUUCCGCCAAGGUGACCUGUUUUUCCUAGUUUGUGUGCCUUAUAUGGACAAAAAACACCUUCUUCUGAAAGGCAGCACACACAUGUGUUUAAGGAGCAUUAUAAAAGCUGAUGUUUGUAAGAGGAUGGUUGUGUACCUGGCUCGACUUCCUGUGGCUGGAUGCAGACUGAAGCUAGACCGUAGAGGGAGAAGAUGACGAAGGCGACGAUGAUGAAGCCGUACCAUUUGAGUGUGCACAUUCCUCACUGAGAAUCCCAGUUAGUGUGAAGAGGGUGAAAACCAGGAGAGAGAACAUGAUCGUCAACACCUCCAUCUCAGUUAUCAGAGAGGCCAUCGGUUCACGCCUGCUGCCAC